rnacentral:rRNA from 1 species
AUUUGGGCACUGUCUCAACAACAGACUCGGUGAAAUUGUAAUUCCGGUGAAGAUGCCGGAUACCUGCGACAGGACGGAAAGACCCCAUGGAGCUUUACUGUAGCUUGACAUUGGGUCUUGGUACUACAUGUACAGGAUAGGUGGGAGGCUUUGAAACCAGGACGCCAGUUUUGGCGGAGCCAUCCUUGGGAUACCACCCUUGUAGUACUGGGACUCUAACCAUAGGCCAUGAAUCUGGUCUUGGGACACUGUCAGGUGGGCAGUUUGACUGGGGCGGUCGCCUCCCAAAAGGUAACGGAGGCGCCGCAAGGUUCUCUCAGUACGGUCGGAAAUCGUACGUAGAGUGUAAAGGCAAAAGAGAGCUUGAUUGCAAGACAUACAGGUCGAGCAAGGAUGAAAAUCGGACUUAGUGAUCCGGUGGUUCGCGGUG